GACGAACGCUGGCGGCGUGCCUAAUGCAUGCAAGUCGAACGCACUCGACCUUCGGGUCAUAUGGGUGAGUGGCGAACGGGUGAGUAACACGUGAGAAACCCACCCCGAAGUCUGGAAUAACUCAGGGAGACUUGAGCCAAUACUGGAUGCCCCCUCCACAUCGAGUGGUGAGGAGAGGAAAGAUUUAUCGCUUCGGGACGGUCUCGCGGCCUAUCAGCUUGUUGGUGAGGUAACGGCUCACCAAGGCAUUGACGGGUAGCUAGUCUGAGAGGACGAAUAGCCACACUGGGACUGAGACACGGCCCAGACUCCUACGGGAGGCAGCAGCAGGGAAUCUUGCACAAUGGGCGAAAGCCUGAUGCAGCGACGCCGCGUGGGGGAUGAAGGCCCUAGGGCCGUAAACCCCUUUCAGCAGGGACGAAGAUGACGGUACCUGCAGAAGAAGCCCGGCCAACUACGUGCCAGCCGCCGCCGUAAGAC
rnacentral:rRNA from 1 species